ACCACAAGCAUUGACAUAUUUUUUGCAGCCGGCAAAAAGAGUAGUUUGUUUCCCCAAUCUGAUUCCUCGUCUGUUAACCUCCUGAAAUCCCAAGUUAUCCUCCCUGCCACCAGAAAAUGAUCCUUGCCUCCCAUAAUCCUCCACUCUGGUCUCUUCAUAAGCCAAUCGACCAACUCAAGAGAAGCAGCGUCUCUGGUUGAGAUAUUAUAUCCCCAAAGAUACCUUGCAAUAUCAAACCCUGCAUAGAAUGGUACAAAAAUUGCUGCAGCAAUGGAAGAAUCAUUCGUCAAGCACUCAUACUGCUUCAUCCUAUUACU
rnacentral:misc_RNA from 1 species